ensembl:lncRNA
CAGGAAGCAGACACAUCAGAGACGUGGUUGUUGGUUUUGGAGACAGAGAAGAUGCUGAGGACUUGAAUCCCAGGUGUGGACAGACAAGAAGAGGAGUUGGCUGUUCAAUCCAUACGUCUCCUGGAUGCAUUAGAUGGAGGCUCUGUGGUGUAGACGAUGGAGAAGUUGCUGCUGACGGAUCCCAAAGAUAUCGGGAAACUCCCUCCAGGGGCGAGAAGUUAAGGGUAUGCCGCCCGCAAGCAAGUAGAGCCCAGACCCGUUGGAACCAGAUGGUUGAUGAUGACCACGCCCACUGACCUCACCACCAACCAAUCAGAAGAACGUCCAUGAGCUGAUCGCACCCUCCUCUUUGACCCAUUACUAUAAAACUUCUCACUACUCUCUCCAGGUCUUAUUUGCAACAUGCAAGAUCUUUAAUUGUGGCAUGAAAAUGAAAGUGAAAGUGAAGUCGCUCAGUCGUGUCCGACUCUUUGCGACCCCAUUGACUGUAGCCUGCCAGGAUCCUCAGUCCAUGGGAUUUUCCAGGCAAGUGUACUGGAGUGGGUUGCCGCUUCCUUCUCCAGGAGAUCUUCCCGACCCAGGAAUUGAACCCUGGUCUCCCGCAUUGCAGGCAGCCACCAGGGAAGUCCUAGCUGUGGUGUGCAAACUCGUAAUUGUGGCAUGUGGGAUCUAGUUCCCUGACCAGGUGCAAGACAUGCCCCAAUGCCACCAUGGAUAGUGUUAAACUUAUUAUGAUCUGUUGUUCCUGAGACUAGGUGAGAGAUGAGUGGGUGAGAAAAACAGGACCUUACUUCACUCUUUGCUGUCUUCAUUACGUUGCUUGGAUUUGUCUCAGCAGUUGUGGGCUCAGUAGCUAGGGUGCUUAGUUACCCGUGGUAUGUGGGCUCUUACUUUCUCGACCAGGAAAAUCAUCUCCUGUGCACUAGAAGGUUGGUCUCUUAACCACUGAGUCACCAGAAAAGUCCCAGCGUUUGAGAUUCUAAACUGUCCUAGGGGACCUUCCUUCUUUGACGAUUGCUCUUAGUUUCAGAUGCUCUGGGAUCUUGAAUUUGUUGACAUUCCCUAAUAAGAGAUGCAACUAACAUGGCAGAUCUCACAGCCUGGCUGGUAAUUGAAUUGUCUGUGCUCCCCAAUCUCCUUCUGUGAACUGCUUCUAUUUGGGACCCUGGGAAAAUCAUUUUAUAAGCUGAAACCUUUUGAAGGAACAAGUAGAUGCUUUUUUCUCUUCUCAUUUCAGGCGUGCUGAAUUUUAGUUCAGCCUGGUUGCCAAGGGGGCCUCUCCAUCAUAAAUCUGGAAACCCUCUAUCAUUAAGGAUUAUUUCUCAGAUUUCCUGAAAGUAAAAGAAAAAUGGGAAAGAUGACGCAAAAGAGCCCUGAGAAUGCUUGGAUUAAUCAAGGGUCAAGGUGAAGCUAGAAACCAGGGUUGCUGAAUUCCAGCCGCUCCACCAUAUUGCUUUACAGAUCCAGUGCAACAGCCCAACACAUCCUGUGCCUGGGAAACUCUGAACUACAGCGCUUGUCCAUGC